UACAGAGGUCCCAAGCGUUGUUCGGAUUCACUGGGCGUAAAGGGUGCGUAGGCGGUCGGGUAAGUCUGGCGUGAAAUCUCCAAGCCUAACUUGGAAACUGCGUUGGAUACUAUCCGGCUCGAGGAAUGGAGGGGAGACUGGAAUACUUGGUGUAGCGGUGAAAUGCGCAGAUAUCAGGAAGAACACCCGUGGCUAAGGCGGCUCUCUAGUACGGUACUGACGCUGAGGUGCGAAAGCGUGGGGAGCAAACAGG
rnacentral:rRNA from 1 species